CUACGGGCCGCAGCAGUGGGGAAUAUUGCACAAUGGAGGAAACUCUGAUGCAGCAACGCCGCGUGGAGGAUGACACUUUUCGGAGCGUAAACUCCUUUUAUAUAGGAAGAAGAUGACGGUACUAUAUGAAUAAGCGCCGGCUAACUCCGUGCCAGCAGCCGCGGUAAUACGGAGGGCGCAAGCGUUACUCGGAAUCACUGGGCGUAAAGAGCGUGUAGGCGGAUUAAAAAGUCAGAAGUGAAAUCCUAUAGCUUAACUAUAGAACUGCUUCUGAAACUCUUAAUCUAGAAUAUGGGAGAGGUAGAUGGAAUUUCUGGUGUAGGGGUAAAAUCCGUAGAGAUCAGAAGGAAUACCGAUUGCGAAGGCGAUCUACUAGAACAUUAUUGACGCUGAGACGCGAAAGCGUGGGGAGCAAACAGGAUUAGAUACCCGGGUAGUC
rnacentral:rRNA from 1 species